rnacentral:rRNA from 1 species
AUCCAGCCUUGCCGCGUGUGUGAAGAAGGCCUUCGGGUUGUAAAGCACUUUUGUCCGGAAAGAAAUCGCACUUACUAAUAUUAGGUGUGGAUGACGGUACCGGAAGAAUAAGGACCGGCUAACUACGUGCCAUCAGCCGCGGUAAUACGUAUGGUCCAAGCGUUAAUCGGAAUUACUGGGCGUAAAGCGUGCGCAGGCGGUUGUGCAAGACCGAUGUGAAAUCCCCGGGCUUAACCUGGGAAUUGCAUUGGUGACUGCACGGCUAGAGUGUGUCAGAGGGGGGUAGAAUUCCACGUGUAGCAGUGAAAUGCGUAGAGAUGUGGAGGAAUACCGAUGGCGAAGGCAACCCCCUGGGAUAACACUGACGCUCAUGCACGAAUGCGUGGGGAGCACACAGGAUUAGAUACCCUGGUAGUCCACGCCCUANACGAUGUCAACUAGUUGUUGNGGAUUCAUUUCCUUA